GAGGAAUCUUUGUACCGAUGAAGACACGGAAGCCCAGAGGGCUAAGUUGACUCGCCUUAGGUUCUAGUGAGUUAGUUGGGGGACAGAUUAGAAUCCCAGUCUCCCAGUGCUGGGCCCCUGCCUGGUGGAGUCUUCAGCACUUUGGUUAAUGCAGGGCUCAGAAGCUUCCCUAUCCUGGGACAGGGCCCCCCGCACAGCUGAUGAGUGCUAACCGGUGGACGGGCUACAGGCAGCCACGAGUUCACCAAGGCUGGCAGAGCUGAAGGCUUACCUCUCCCGCUGUCUGGGCAGGCUGGCAGGUGAUCACAUUUUCCUCUGGACCUAAUUACCUGAGAAGAAAAGAACAUUUCACUGUAAAUCCACUGAAGUGCCAUCUAAGCAGCCUGCAAGUAGAGAUGUUGAAGUCCAAAGAGGUGAACAAUGGAAAGACAUCAGCUGUGAGUCAGUGGGGAGUGUCUGAGGAUGGAGGCGCUAUGGCUCCCUGGAGAUCUCUUGGUGUGUCCACAUGCCGGGUGGGUCCACGGACAGGAGCUCUUCUGGUGCUUCCCUCACUCCCCACCCGACCCAUGCAGUACCCACCCUCUGCAGCUGGGCCCUCCAGCUGGCUCAGCUCAGCCCUGUUUCAUGUUUAGUCGGUCUUUGAUCUUCACUCUUUAACUAAAGCCAGAGCCAGGUGAAACCUGAUUUUAUCCUUUUCUCAAAUGUGAACUAAGCUCAAAAGAAAGAGAAGGCUGAUAUGGACCCACAUCUAAACUCACAUCUGAAAUAAAAACUUGAGUGGAUUUUCCUGUUGAUCUAGAAUUGGUCACUGGGGCUGAAAUUGAGGACAAAGAGAUGAUCACCAACCUUCUGAUCUGGCCCUAUGCUUGGAAGAGCAGGAGGAGAGACAAGGAGGGAGAGAGGGCAGCGUGAACACAGUGUGACCAGAGACAAGCCUGCGUGUCUGCAUUUCAGUGUUUUAAGAGGACAUGAAUUUUCCAUGGGUCCAGUGGACAAUGUGGAAGGUUUCUUUUCUGGGAGCUGCUAUCACUGAAUACAUAAAGAAAUUGAGCCUAUAUGAUUUCAAUCUUCACCUUCUGAUGCUGAUGAAACAGGAUUCUAUGCAGAGAAAAUCCUCUCCAGUCAAGUAAUUGCAUCCAUUUCAUCUUCCCAGCCCUCCUCUAGAUGGGAGGUGGAGGUGUGUGUACCAAUCUCUUAAUUCAGAAAUGAGACAAGAGGAGGAAAAAGGAGUUCCGGAGGUGUGUGAUCCAAGUCUGGCUGCAGGCUAUGGACAUUCCAGGAGGGAGACUCCAUCAGAGAAGUGGAGCUGGAGUUGGGUGUUAGAGGGUAAAGGGAGGGUUUGAACAGGCAAGGGAUGGGGGAGGAGUGCCUUACAGUGGGAGAGGGAGAGGCUGCUUGAAAAAGCAUAGAGCUGUGAGUGAGCAUGCGUGCCCAAGGAGAGGGAGCCAGGCACUGCCAGGGUGCAGGUGGGGCAGACUGGCUAGGUGUGUGGCCAGGGUGUGGAAGGAACAUGCUAAGUGUGACAGUUAAUUUAUGUGUCAUCCUGGCUAGGCUAUGGUGCUCAGUUGUUUGGUGAAACAUCAGCCUAGAUGUUGCUUCAAAGGUAUUUAUUAAAUGUGUAAUUUAAAUCAUAGACUUUGAGUAAAGCUGAUCACCUUACGUAAUGUGAGUGGGUCUCGUCCAAUCAACUGAAGGCUUUAAGAGCAAAGACAAAGGUUUUUCAAAGAGAAAAAGAAGACUCUCCUCAAGACUGUGACAUAGAAACUCUGCCUGAAUUUCUAGCCUGCUGCCCUGCAGAAUUUAGAGUCAAGCCUACAACAUAACUCUUACCUGAAUUCUCAGGCUGCUGACUUACCCUGCAGAUUUUGGACUUGCCAGCCCCUCACAAUCCCAUGAGCCAAUUCCUUAAAAUAAAUCUCUCUUUUUCCCUCUGUAUAUAUUUAUGUCCUAUUGAUUUUGGUUCUCUGGAGAGCCCUGACUACUACACUGAGUGAAGGGAGGGCUUUGCUAAGUGAUCAUGGUCCCAAGGGCAGCCUCUGAGAGCCCGCUCCUUUUGCAGGAUAUUUGAAGACCAGACCUUGAGUCAAAUUCUGCAGCCAAAUUCAAUGCCCAUAAGACUUUCUGCUCAGAAGACGUCAUGCAAAGGGAAUCCCCAGGGCUCUUUAAAUUAGAUCUUCUGUUUGUGCAGACACGUGAUAAAUGUUUUGGGUACAGCCUGGCUCACACCACAUUUUCCACUUUUUGGGUGGAGUCAGUUUUAAUUGACAAGAAGUGCCUUUACAGGUGGACUUUUUUUUUGGUGGUGGAGGGGAGUAGUUAAAACCGAUGCUUUGCAUUCUGUUGGGCAGCAGAAAGAUUGCUUUUUCAAUAAGCAAGCCUUGGGUUUUUCUGAGCCAGUGGUAUGAGAAAUGCCUCUCCUGAAGGCCACCACGCAAGCGAGUCCCCACAGAAGCAUGCCCGAGCUGUCAGGUGCAGGGAGAAAUAUCUUUAGUAAGAGCCGGUCAUGUAAUGAGACUUCCCCACCACAGCAUAGAUGGGCAGAGGGGUUUCCACAAGGACAAUUCUUAAGAAUCUCUGUAAAAACGCAUGACUCCAUCUGUCUCCUCUCUCUUCUUUGGCUUCAGAUGAGCUGAGCCAUUUAAAAAUUCCCCAACAAGGGACCCCAGGCACCAGAAGAAGUGAUGAACAGAUUUUCAAUUUGGCCCUGAUUUGCAUAAAUUUUUUUUUUCUGGCAGUUGAAAUCAUUGAGACUAGAGGCCGGAGAUGGGUAGUAGUGGGUUUUCCCCAUCUGAAGCGGAUUCUUGAUUGGUCUGGAAAGACUGCUGGAGCUCCUGGGUGCAAGGCUCUGACCAGCAGAGCUGGUCAGCAGAGCUGACUGCUCUGGGUGCAGCUUCUCCAGAGAAGGAAGAGAUGGCAAAGAGGAAGGCCUGGGGUUCAGAGAAGGACUUUGCAACCCCAAUGGGGAGUCAGAUCCUCAGGUCUCCUCCUAGAGCGGCUGCCUGGUAACUUUCCCAGUGUCCUUCAGGGAGCAUCUCCUCGUCCGUGUGGCUGGUUUCUUCUGAUAGGAGGCUACCUUGUAAUUUCUCACUGACAGGACAGUGGGGACCCCAGCCAGAGCCUGGGGACUUGGCUGCCUUGGAACCAGAACCUGGCCCCUCAGAGGAGUUGCAGAAUUUCGAUAGAGGAGUGGCAGGAGGUGUACUGGCUGAAGAGGAGGCCCAAGGAACUCCUUUUCAUACAUCAAAACUGAGCUUAUCACCUCUACCCUGAAGUCAUCCUGGACAUCACUGGUCCCAGUUAAUCACUCACUUAUCUUUGCCAUCCUUGACCUGGUGAGUACAGUCUUUAUACCAUUUAUCAAUUAGUUAUAAUAUAUUUAUCAAUUUGUUAUAAUUGGAGAGUUGUAAAGGAUAUUAACCAGGCCCAGUUCAGGCAGUUUACAGGUGUGUGGGCACCCCGUCUGCUAUAGAUCUUUUGGUCCUAGAUUUCUAUAGCACAACGCUUAUCACUUAUUAAGUACUAAAGUUUCUGAUUUUUAUAAACGGAACUGAAAUGAAUCCCAAUUACUGACCUGUGGGACUCCCAGCCCUUUGACAUCUUGGUCCUGCCCAAAGUCAGGAGUACAUUUCCAGAGGGCUCUGCAGUGGGAAAUAGUGGUGGGAGUCUGUGUGUAUUCAGCUCGAUGCAUGCCCUAUGUUAGGUGUUUUCCCUUUUGCAGGCUGGAGUGAGCCCUUGAGCUGACCCAGAAGUUCUGAGCAUUUAUCACCCAGUAUUGAUGACCAUGUAUUUUGCCUCCUCUCUUUAUGCCUAAAGAUGAAGGAAGAAAUACAAGCUCAUGUUACAAAGAGUAUUUCCUGGGUUUAUCAGCUCUCCCCCUCUCAGCUUGAGCUCUGAAUGAUUUCUUAGUUCUCAGCUUUUCUUCCUCUGAUCAAAGUGCCUGAGGCAGUGAGCACUGGGAGGGCAGGAGCAUUUCUGGCUGAGCCCAAUGCUCACCUCUUCUGGGCCGUUUUAGGAAGCUGUGGCCCAGUGUUCUCUGGUCAGACAAGCAUGGCCUGGCUGUGGAAGGGUCUCCAAAGGCUCAUGGGUCCCAGGUGCCCUGGAUUUUGAAGGCAGCUGCCCUGCCUCCACUGGGAGAAGAUUAAAGCCCCCUUUGCCUUUCUUCGUCCCUCCCUUUCCCACUCUGUUCACUCAAUCACUCUUUUCUCUCCAAUGAAUUAAAUGCAGAAAAUCCAUGAGCAGGAUUUCUCUCUUCAAAGGACCAAAUAACCUUCUUUCUAUUCCCCCUAAAUUUUUUUCCAAACUGCAAAAAGAAAACAUGCAAACAGACUUCAAGUUAAAGGUGAGAGAAAGAAAGAAAAAUUGAAGCAAAGUAAUUUUAACUUGAGAAGUAGAGCAGUUUAAACCCAGAAAAAAAAUGUACACUCCGCAAUAUAGUCCUUUCCUACAAAUUAAUUAACCCAAAGUACUUGUUUAAUUAGUGUGAGGGGUAGGGAAUUGAGUAGCUAACAAUAUCUCUCACCCAGUUUAGAAUUAUGUUCACAAAAGAAUUUCUUCUUCUUUUCCUGAAAGGGAAGAGAACGUUGCCCUCAUUGGUCUGGAAUCAGCAGGUACCUCAUGGCUGGAGGUGUAUUUUCAGGUGGGUUGGGACUUUGAAGAGGUGGCUUUUCCUAUGGACCCCUCUGACUCCCCACCUGUGGGCAUGACACAGGUGACCUGGCUGCCAGGGCAGAGGCUGCUUAGCCCUGCUCCAGAGAAACAGAGCUCUGAGGGCUUCCAGAAACCAGGGCUCCUGGCUCCUCAGUCCUUCCCACUCCUCUCUUCCUACUCCCGUGCUGCAUAUAAACUUUUCUUUUUUUUUCAGAUGGAGUCUCACUCUGUCACUCAGGCUGGAGUGCAGUGGUGCGAUCUCAGCUUACUGCAACCUCCGCCUCCCGGGUUCAAGUGAUUCUCCUGCCUCAGCUUCCCCAGUAGCAGGGACUACAGGACCACAGGUGUAUGCCAUUAUGCUCGGCUAAUUUUUGUAUUUUUAGUAGAGACAGGGUCUCACCAUGUUGGCCAGGCUGGUCUCGAGCUCCUGACCUCAGGUGAUCACACGCCUUGGCCUCCCAAAAUGCUGGGAUUACAGGCAUGAGCCACUGCACUUGGCCUGCAUAUAAACUUUUUGAGUUUCCUGCUUUUGACAUGAGCAUGGAUAUUUAUCACUUCUAGAGGCAUUAGGAGAACUCAAGUCCAAGUGCUCAGAGACCUACAGUGCAGCUUAAGACCCUGUCACAGGAAUCUUCGGGGUGGGGGCAUGCACGGGAGUUAUAGAGAGUUGGGGAAGGAUGAGUUCUCAACCAAUGCUUUCCUUUUUUCCACAGACUCCUUUGGCAUCUGGUGAGGCCUGUGGAUUCAUUCUCAGAAUCACAUUUUUAAAUGCACAUAAUAAAAUACAUAGAAUUGCAAAGGAAGUUAAUUAUAUUGAAAUACAGUUAUCAAAAAUAUAAAUAAAACAAGUAUGUGGUACAGUCAUAUGUGUGCUUCUUUAUUAAGUCAUUACAAAGCAAGAUCUAUUUGGAGGUCUAAUAACUGUCAUAUGCUUGAAAAAAUCCUUAACAAUCAUAAUAUAUUAAAAAAUCUGAUUUCUACUUUGGCAAAUCAUAGAUAUUGCUGAAACUGUGGUUUAUUGCCUGCAUUCAUAAUUGAAGGAAAUGCUAGAGUUCAGUGAGAAGGUUGUGAAAAUAAAGAGAGCCUUUUUUUCUCAUCAAG
rnacentral:lncRNA from 10 species